rnacentral:lncRNA from 1 species
UUUUCUUACAUUGUAUCAGAGCACCGGAUGGAGAGCGAGAACUCAGAUCAAAUGACUUGCCAACAAAGUCCAUCUUCUUCAGGGGAAAUCAUCCUAGGCCCAUUUAAUCUGAGUAGUCCAUACUACGUUGAUGUGAAUAUGAAGUUAGACACACUCUUCGUCACUCUUGUUACUUGAAGCAAACAAGUAUCACAUAUGGGUGAGAUCUAUGAAGCUUGCAUUACGAAUCGAAAACAAGAUAGGAUUUAUAGAUGGAAGACUGAAACAACCAACGGAUCCGUCAGAUCCUUUGAUGAAACAUUGGUUGCGAUGCAAUGACAUUGUUUUCAUAUCACGCUAUGACUGCGGACAUAAAGUGUAACACAUUUUAUGUUGACACAGCACAUCAACUGUGGCAUAAGUUGGAGCAAAGAUAUGCGAAGCCGGAUACACUGUAAGUAUAUAUUUCUCAAGGUUAAUGGCCUUGUUCGUCGAACUAAUGAAUUAUGAGUCAAUGCCGAACUGUAAUUGUGGUUGUUUAAGAACGAUAGUUGAAUACCGUCAAAGAGAUUGUGUGAUGAAGUUUCUUAUGGGUUUAAAUUAGUCGUAUGAACCUAUCAAGACUUAGAUAUUGUUAAGAAAACCCUUUCCUAGUUUGGAUGAAGUGUAUUCGAUCAUUCAGCAACAAGAAAAAUGUAGGGAGAUCAUUUCAGAUACUAUGACUAAUAAGGCCUUAGCAUUCAACGUUAAAGAAACAAAUAAAAAAGAUAGAGUUCCCAAUCCAAAUAGAGACAAAUACUACUGCUCUUAUUGCAAAAUAACAGGACAUUCCUUAAAGAGGUGUUUCAAAGCAAAUCCCAAUAGACCUGUGUGCUCUAAUUGUAAUAUGCCUGGACAUAAUACAGAGGAUUGCUACAAUCCUUGAUGAUACUCAAAAGA